GAUGAACGCUGGCGGCGUGCCCAAUACAUGCAAGUCGAGCGAAUGGAUUAAGAGCUUGCUCUUAUGAAGUUAGCGGCGGACGGGUGAGUAACACGUGGGUAACCUGCCCAUAAGACUGGGAUAACUCCGGGAAACCGGGGCUAAUACCGGAUAACAUUUUGAACCGCAUGGUUCGAAAUUGAAAGGCGGCUUCGGCUGUCACUUAUGGAUGGACCCGCGUCGCAUUAGCUAGUUGGUGAGGUAACGGCUCACCAAGGCAACGAUGCGUAGCCGGCCUGAGAGGGGGAUCGGCCACACUGGGACUGAGACACGGCCCAGACUCCUACGGGAGGCAGCAGUAGGGAAUCGUCCGCAAUGGACGAAAGUCUGACGGAGCAACGCCGCGUGAGUGAUGAAGGCUUUCGGGUCGUAAAACUCUGUUGUUAGGGAAGAACAAGUGCUAGUUGAAUAAGCUGGCACCUUGACGGUACCUAACCAGAAAGCCACGGCUAACUACGUGCCAGCCGCCGCGGUAA
rnacentral:rRNA from 1 species